CCCUGCCAUUUGUACACACCGCCCGUCGCUACUACCGAUUGAAUGUUUUAGUGAGGUCCACGGAUUGCUGCCUUUGGUGGAAACACCACUGGCGGCGAGAAGUGGACCAAACUUGAAUAUUUAGAGGA
rnacentral:rRNA from 1 species